rnacentral:sRNA from 19 species
AUGCUAAAGGGAAGUAUUACCCUUUAGCAUACAUAUGUAGCACGUAGCA